AUGGAGGACCCCUGCCUUGGCACCUUCUCCCCAAGGUGCUCUGCACACUUUAAUUCUCUUGCUCUCUCAUCACCCCCUAUGCCCGUCAUCCCUCUAUCCCUCUCACCCCCUAUGCCUGUCAUCCCUCUAUCCCUCUCACUCCCUAUGCCCGUCAUCCCUCUAUCCCUCUCACUCCCUAUGCCCGUCAUCCCUCUAUCCCUCUCACUCCCUAUGCCCAUCAUUCCUCUAUCCCUCACUCCCUAUGCCCGUCAUCACUCUCUCUCAUCACUCCCUAUGCCCGUCAUCACUCUCUCUCAUCACUCCCUAUGCCCGUCAUCCCUCUCACUCCCUAUGCCCGUCAUCCCUCUUUCCCUCUCACUCCCUAUGCCCGUCAUCCCUCUAUCCCUCUCACUCCCUAUGCCCGUCAUCACUCUCUCUCAUCACUCCCUAUGCCCGUCAUCACUCUCUCUCAUCACUCCCUAUGCCCGUCAUCCCUCUCACUCCCAAUGCCCGUCAUCCCUCUCUCUCAUCACUCCCUAUGCCCGUCAUCACUCUCUCUCAUCACUCCCUAUGCCCGUCAUCACUCUAUCCCUCUCAUUCCCUAUGCCCGUCAUCCCUCUAUCCCUCUCACUCCCUAUGCCCGUCAUCACUCUAUCCCUCUCACUCCCUAUGCCCGUCAUCCCUCUCACUCCCUAUGCCCGUCAUCCCUCUAUCCCUCUCACUCCCUAUGCCCGUCAUCCCUCUAUCCCUCUCACUCCCUAUGCCCGUCAUCCCUCUCACUCCCUAUGCCCGUCAUCCCUCUAUCCCUCUCACUCCCUAUGCCCGUCAUCACUCUCUCUCAUCACCCCCUAUGCCCGUCAUCCCUCUCACUCCCUAUGCCUGUCAUCCCUCUAUCCCUCUCACUCCCUAUGCCCGUCAUCCCUCUAUCCCUCUCACUCCCUAUGCCCGUCAUCCCUCUAUCCCUCUCACUCCCUAUGCCCUCUAUCCCUCUCACUCCCUAUGCCCAUCAUCCCUCUCACUCCCUAUUCCCGUCAUCACUCUCUCUCAUCACUCCCUAUGCCCGUCAUCACUCCCUAUGCCCGUCAUCCCUCUAUCCCUCUCACUCCCUAUGCCCGUCAUUCCUCUCACUCCCUAUGCCCGUCAUCACUCUCUCUCAUCACUCCCUAUGCCCGUCAUCACUCUAUCCCUCUCACUCCCUAUGCCCGUCAUCCCUCUAUCCCUCUCACUCCCUAUGCCCGUCAUUCCUCUCACUCCCUAUGCCCGUCAUCCCUCUAUCCCUCUCACUCCCUAUGCCCGUCAUCCCUCUAUCCCUCUCACUCCCUAUGCCCGUCAUCCCUCUCACUCCCUAUGCCCGUCAUCACUCUCUCUCAUCACCCCCUAUGCCCGUCAUCCCUCUAUCCCUCUCACCCCCUAUGCCCGUCAUCCCUCUAUCCCUCUCACUCCCUAUGCCCGUCAUCCCUCUCACUCCCUAUGCCCGUCAUUCCUCUAUCCCUCUCACUCCCUAUGCCCGUCAUCCCUCUAUCCCUCUCACUCCCUAUGCCCGUCAUCCCUCUGUCCCUCACUCCCUAUGCCCGUCAUCCCUCUAUCCCUCACUCCCUAUGCCAAUCAUCCCUCUAUCCCUCUCACUCCCUAUGCCCGUCAUCCCUCUAUCCCUCUCACUCCCUAUGCCUGUCAUCCCUCUCACUCCCUAUGCCUGUCAUCCCUGUAUCCCUCUCACUCCCUAUGCCCGUCAUCCCUCUCACUCCCUAUGCCCGUCAUCCCUCUAUCCCUCUCACCCCCUAUGCCUGUCAUCCCUCUAUCCCUCUCACUCCCUAUGCCCGUCAUCCCUCUAUCCCUCUCACUCCCUAUGCCCGUCAUCCCUCUAUCCCUCACUCCCUAUGCCCGCCAUCCCUCUAUCCCUCUCACUCCCUAUGCCCAUCAUCCCUCUAUCCCUCACUCCCUAUGCCCGUCAUCACUCUUUCCCUCUCACUCCCUAUGCCCAUCAUCCCUCUCACUCCCUAUGCCCGUCAUCCCUCUCACUCCCUAUGCCCGUCAUCCCUCUAUCCCUCUCACUCCCUAUGCCCGUCAUCCCUCUAUCCCUCUCACUCCCUAUGCCCGUCAUCCCUCUAUCCCUCUCACUCCCUAUGCCUGUCAUCCCUCUAUCCCUCUCACUCCCUAUGCCCGUCAUCCCUCUAUCCCUCUCACUCCCUAUGCCCGUCAUUCCUCUCACUCCCUAUGCCCGUCAUCCCUCUAUCCCUCUCACUCCCUAUGCCCGUCAUCCCUCUAUCCCUCUCACUCCCUAUGCCUGUCAUCCCUCUAUCCCUCUCACUCCCUAUGCCCGUCAUCCCUCUCACUCCCUAUGCCCGUCAUCACUCUCUCUCAUCACCCCCUAUGCCCGUCAUCCCUCUAUCCCUCUCACCCCCUAUGCCCGUCAUCCCUCUAUCCCUCUCACUCCCUAUGCCCGUCAUCCCUCUCACUCCCUAUGCCCGUCAUCCCUCUAGCCCUCUCACUCCCUAUCCCUGUCAUCCCUCUAUCCCUCUCACUCCCUAUGCCCGUCAUCCCUCUGUCCCUCACUCCCUAUGCCCGUCAUCCCUCUAUCCCUCACUCCCUAUGCCCAUCAUCCCUCUAUCCCUCUCACUCCCUAUGCCCGUCAUCCCUCUAUCCCUCUCACUCCCUAUGCCCGUCAUCCCUCUAUCCCUCUCACUCCCUAUGCCUGUCAUCCCUGUAUCCCUCUCACUCCCUAUGCCCGUCAUCCCUCUCACUCCCUAUGCCCGUCAUCCCUCUAUCCCUCUCACCCCCUAUGCCUGUCAUCCCUCUAUCCCUCUCACUCCCUAUGCCCGUCAUCCCUCUAUCCCUCUCACUCCCUAUGCCCGUCAUCCCUCACUCCCUAUGCCCGCCAUCCCUCUAUCCCUCUCACUCCCUAUGCCCAUCAUCCCUCUAUCCCUCACUCCCUAUGCCCGUCAUCACUCUAUCCCUCACUCCCUAUGCCCAUCAUCCCUCUCACUCCCUAUGCCCGUCAUCCCUCUCACUCCCUAUGCCCGUCAUCCCUCUAUCCCUCUCACUCCCUAUGCCCGUCAUCCCUUUACCCCUCUCACUCCCUAUGCCUGUCAUCCCUCUAUCCCUCUCACUCCCUAUGCCCGUCAUCCCUCUAUCCCUCUCACUCCCUAUGCCUGUCAUCCCUGUAUCCCUCUCACUCCCUAUGCCCUUCAUCCCUCUAUCCCUCUCACUCCCUAUGCCCGUCAUCCCUCUAUCCCUCUCACUCCCUAUGCCCGUCAUCCCUCUAUCCCUCUCACUCCCUAUGCCCGUAAUCACUCUCUCUCAUCACUCCCUAUGCCCGUCAUCCCUCUAUCCCUUUCACUCCCUAUGCCCUUCAUCCCUCUAUCCCUCUCACUCCCUAUGCCCGUCAUCCCUCUAUCCCUCUCACUCCCUAUGCCCGUCAUCCCUCUAUCCCUCUCACUCCUUAUGCCCGUCAUCCCUCUCACUCCCUUUGCCCAUCAUCCCUCUAUCCCUCUCACCCCCUAUGCCCGUCAUCCCUCUAUCCCUCUCACUCCCUAUGCCCGUCAUCCCUCUAUCCCUCUCACUCCCUAUGCCCGUCAUCCCUCUCACUCCCUAUGCCCGUCAUCCCUCUCACUCCCUAUGCCCGUCAUCCCUCUCACUCCCUAUGCCCGUCAUCACUCUCUCUCAUCACUCCCUAUGCCCGUCAUCCCUCUAUCCCUCUCACUCCCUAUGCCCUCUAUCCCUCUCGCUCCCUAUGCCCGUCAUCCCUCUAUCCCUCUCGCUCCCUAUGCCCGUCAUCCCUCUAUCCCUCUCACUCCCUAUGCCCGUCAUCCCUCUAUCCCUCUCACUCCCUAUGCCCGUCAUCCCUCUAUCCCUCUCACUCCCUAUGCCCGUCAUCCCUCUAUCCCUCUCACUCCCUAUGCCCGUCAUCCCUCUCACUCCAUAUGCCCGUCAUCCCUCUAUCCCUCUCACUCCCUAUGCCCGUCAUCCCUCUAUCCCUCUCACUCCCUAUGCCCGUCAUCCCUCUCACUCCCUAUGCCCGUCAUCCCUCUCACUCCCUAUGCCCGUCAUCCCUCUAUCCCUCUCGCUCCCUAUGCCCGUCAUCCCUCUAUCCCUCUCACUCCCUAUGCCCGUCAUCUCUCUCACUCCCUAUGCCUGUCAUCCCUCUAUCCCUCUCACUCCCUAUGCCCGUCAUCACUCUAUCCCUCUGUUUUUGUCUCCCACCUCCAACUUCGCAGUAUAAGGGAGACGGGAAGUGGUGAGGGUUUAACAAGCCUCUGGAGACAGGAAGUGGUGAGGGUUUAA
ensembl:lncRNA